AUGAAGCUUCAUGCCCUCUCUGGGAACCCCAGAAUUUGGGAAUCUUCACAUGUUCAGAAAUCUAAUGCUGCACUUACUGGACUCUUGAUGGGAAUCGGCUCAUCUUUUCACUAUGACUUCAACAUUCUUCAUGUUAAGAAUCAAGAACAUUAUUUAGUUGACUCUCUAAAGAUGGAUACUUCUUCAGGCAUAGUAAUGGUGAUGCUCUUAAUACUUGGAAGAACCCACGGAGACUCAGUGACCCAGAUGGAAGGCCAAGUGACCAUAUCAGAAGGGGCUUUGUUGACUAUAAACUGCACUUACUCCGCCACAAGGUACCCUACUCUUUUCUGGUAUGUUCAAUACCCUGGAGAAGGUCCACAGCUCCUCCUGAAAGCUGUGAAGGCCAAUGAUAAGGUCAUCAACAAAGGUUUUGAAGCCACAUACAAUAAAGAAGCCACGUCCUUCCACCUGGAGAAAGCUUCUAUUCAAGCAUCAGACUCGGCUGUGUAUUACUGUGCUCUGGGUGACACAGUGGCAGAAACUGCAGGGGGAGCUGAGCACAAACUCUGAGCAGCAAC